rnacentral:rRNA from 1 species
UGGGGAAUUUUGGACAAUGGGCGAAAGCCUGAUCCAGCAAUGCCGCGUGUGUGAAGAAGGCCUUCGGGUUGUAAAGCACUUUUGUCCGGAAAGAAAUCCUUGGCUCUAAUACAGUCGGGGGAUGACGGUACCGGAAGAAUAAGCACCGGCUAACUACGUGCCAGCAGCCGCGGUAAUACGUAGGGUGCAAGCGUUAAUCGGAAUUACUGGGCGUAAAGCGUGCGCAGGCGGUUUGCUAAGACCGAUGUGAAAUCCCCGGGCUCAACCUGGGAACUGCAUUGGUGACUGGUAGGCUAGAGUAUGGCAGAGGGGGGUAGAAUUCCACGUGUAGCAGUGAAAUGCGUAGAGAUGUGGAGGAAUACCGAUGGCGAAGGCAGCCCCCUGGGCCAAUACUGACGCUCAUGCACGAAAGCGUGGGGGAGCAAAACAGGAUUAGAUACCCUGGUAGUCCACGCCCUAAAACGAUGUCAACUAGUUGUUGGGGAUUCAUUUCCUUAGUAACGUAGCUAACGCGUGAAGUUGACCGCCUGGGGAGUACGGUCGCAAGAUUAAAACUCAAAGGAAUUGACGGGGUCAUAGCUGUUUCCU